UGUUACAGCAACAAUAUGAAGCUAAUACUUCGGGGGUUGGAGAUGAAUUGGAAAUUUCCCUCUCCUCUCACAAACAUGGAAAUACCUCUCACUGAACCUGGAGCUCACAGAUUCAGCAAGGCUGCUUGGGCAAUGAGCCUAGGGAUCCUCCUGCCUCCACUUUCCCAAGGCCUGGGCUCCAUUGCAUCUAUUUUUAUAUGGAUGCUGAAGAGGGAAGGUAGAUUCCCAUGCUGUGGCAGCAAGCAUUUCACCAGCAGAGCCAUCUCCCGACCUUCUUGUCUAGUUUUGAAACUAUGAAUUCAGUUCCAUGUGGGUCCAAUGACUCUAAUGUCCCCUUUCCCAAGACAUCUACAACCACCAUCACCAGCGUCUUCUUGGUGACAACACAAUCUGUAGUCCUGACUUCUUUAGGGACAGGAAGGAGGAGUGCAUUCUGAAGGCUUCCUUGACAUCCGUGGUGCUGGAUCGAUCCCCUUCUCUGCCUGCGAAGGUGUGAAGAGUUGCAGGAUUGUGGGUACCCCUCCUUGAAGGGGAAGCAGACCCCUGAGAGUCAGCCUUGUUUUGCGAAUGAAAAAGCCUAUGGUGUAUUGAACCAUCCUGUACUUCUUCAUGCUCGGUGUUCUAAAGAUAGUCCUGUGA